UUCAUGUUCCCCCUAUUGAACACGGAUGGCACGCAGCGAUCCUCACACGCGAAAUGCAGAACAAGCAGAGUGGGAGCUUUGCUGCGAAAUAGGCGUGAACCCGGAGCGCCUUGCGCCAAGUUCUGCACCAACCUUUUGAAGUGCUAACUGUUUUUUCGUGUCUUUUUUUUUUUUUUCCACUGGAAUUGAAAACACUCUUGGGUUCUGGUUCCUGCCAUCGCUCGAUCGCUCGUCUCUUAAGCAAUAAAAUUCUUUCUGUGUUAAACGGGUCUCUUAAGGCAACUGGAAAGAAGGAAGAUGCUGCACUGCCGUGCUUCUCUCCAGAAUACCCGUUUGCUGCCUCCAGUAUUCAGUUCAUGUCAUCUCUCCCUGAAAUUCACCAGAAAUGCUUUCCUGAAUGUGAAGGAAGAAGCUCAGGAAAGGAUCAAAACACCCAGAUUUACGCCACCGGUGCAAGGCAACCUCCCCCUGUCCACAAAGGGCUCCAUUCCCACCUUGGCCACGCACACAGCAGGCGGCUGGAGGCAAGAGAAACACCAGGGC